GCUUAUGGAGUUUAACAGUAUGCUAUUCAUGGCAACAUCUUGACAAGGUAAAGACUAAUAUAUCAUUUGUUUGUGCCUCUCGUCUUCAGGAAUCAAAAUUAUUUUCUCAUUCAAGAAGAUAUUUUGUGAUAUUUUAGGACGUUAUAUAUCUUAAUGGGUUGUGUCAUAUUUAGUAUUUAAGACGUUAUAUAUCUUAUAUGCCUGGAUUUUUUUUUUAAACAUACAGGCUGAUCAACUGCAAGUACACGUUAUGGUAGUUUUCUAUUUCAUAUUCCAUAGUUCCACUGAUGUUUUUUCAACCUUAUUUCCAAAUACUUGCAGCUGGCUCCUAGGCAUCAAACUGUUCUUUUACCAGUUAACAUCCACUUCAGUAUACUGUUCAGUUUUAUGGGACAUUGGUUUUCUGUUUUAAUUCUAUUCUUUUGUUUUGAUUUGGCACAGGUAUGUUUAUUUUCGAAGUUUUUAAUGGCACGGAUAUGCAAUUAAAGUGCUUUGUUGUUAUAUUGUUGAAUAAUUGUGUCGGCCAUGCAUUUCUGAUGAAAAAACUUACUCUCUGCUAUUUGGCCGAGUGCAGACCUUUCCAAGUAGUUCAAUUAGGCCCAGAUUGGGAUAAAUGGCACAUACAUGCUCCUGGGAAUGUAGAUGUUUUUUGUGGAAGAAUUUCUCCCUCUCUCUCAUCUCAUUUGGAUGAACUUGCCACACCAUGCAGAGCUUGACCGAGACGAAUGAUGUGUAUCUGCAGAGGGGACGAGAAGGAGACAGGAAAGAACGGAUUUCGUGAACUGAAGUAGAAUAUGAAUUCCUUUCGUGCAGUUCUAUUUCAUUUUCUUGUCCGAGCGGCAACUACCUCUGGAGUUUCAGUAAAAUACCUUUCCUUGUGUAUUUCCUUCUCGAAGGCUCAUCUUUCAUGCUUGUUAUAUCUCUUUGCAGCGAUGCCUUGUUUCCCCACAAUCUCAUCGAAGAGAGGGUUUACUGGAAAGAGCAGAAGAAGAGGGCUCCUUCUAUGAGGAACCACGUCGAGAGGAGGUAAAUGAAGGAAGC
rnacentral:lncRNA from 1 species